rnacentral:rRNA from 1 species
AACAGGAUUAGAUACCCUGGUAGUCCACGCCGUAAACGAUGUCGACUUGGAGGUUGUUCCCUUGAGGAGUGGCUUCCGGAGCUAACGCGUUAAGUCGACCGCCUGGGGAGUACGGCCGCAAGGUUAAAACUCAAAUGAAUUGACGGGGGCCCGCACAAGCGGUGGAGCAUGUGGUUUAAUUCGAUGCAACGCGAAGAACCUUACCUACUCUUGACAUCCACGGAAUUCGGCAGAGAUGCCUUAGUGCCUUCGGGAAUCGUGAGACAGGUGCUGCAUGGCUGUCGUCAGCUCGUGUUGUGAAAUGUUGGGUUAAGUCCCGCAACGAGCGCAACCCUUAUCCUUUGUUGCCAGCGAUUCGGUCGGGAACUCAAAGGAGACUGCCGGUGAUAAACCGGAGGAAGGUGGGGAUGACGUCAAGUCAUCAUGGCCCUUACGAGUAGGGCUACACACGUGCUACAAUGGCGCAUACAAAGGGUUGCCAAGCCGCGAGGUGGAGCUAAUCCCAUAAAACCGAUCGUAGUCCGGAUCGCAGUCUGCAACUCGACUGCGUGAAGU